AUUGAACGCUGGCGGCAUGCCUAACACAUGCAAGUCGAGCGGUUGAAGGGAGCUUGCUCCUGGAUUCAGCGGCGGACGGGUGAGUAAUUCCUAGGAAUCUGCCUGGUCGUGGGGGAUAACGUCCGGAAACGGGCGCUAAUACCGCAUACGUCCUGAGGGAGAAAGUGGGGGAUCUUCGGACCUCACGCUAUCAGAUGAGCCUAGGUCGGAUUAGCUAGUUGGUGGGGUAAAGGCCUACCAAGGCGACGAUCCGUAACUGGUCUGAGAGGAUGAUCAGUCACACUGGAACUGAGACACGGUCCAGACUCCUACGGGAGGCAGCAGUGGGGAAUAUUGGACAAUGGGCGAAAGCCUGAUCCAGCCAUGCCGCGUGUGUGAAGAAGGUCUUCGGAUUGUAAAGCACUUUAAGUUGGGAGGAAGGGCAGUAAGUUAAUACCUUGCUGUUUUGACGUUACCAACAGAAUAAGCACCGGCUAACUUCGUG
rnacentral:rRNA from 1 species